GGUCCUCUCAGUUCACGUUGGACUUUCUGUAUCCAGAACCACCAAAGCAUUACAGCUCAGAGAGCUAAUUAAAAACAAUAGAAAAAACAUUUUUUUAGACUGGAAUGUUUUCAGGGACAAAAGUUUCAUGUCACACCGAAUAAAACAUUCGGGUAAAAAUUAAGGAUCCUCAUUACACACAGUGUGCAUUUUUCUCGUAGGUACUUAAAGCUUAUUUGAGUCAGGUCAUAAAGUGUGUAUUUUCUUAACAAUCUCCAUCUCAUGUCACCUUGAACAAUAUAAGAUGUUUCUGCCUCUGAGUAACAAAAAGCUUAAUGUUGAAAUUUUUCAGGUGCCAUUUUGUGACGGCCCCUCAGAACGCUGUGACGCAUAAAAUGCAGUCACAGAGAAAAACAGUACACAGAACUACAUAAUGAUUGGUAAGUGAUUAGCACAGCUCUGAAAAAACGCACGUUGUCCUCUCUGGGACAGGGGCUGACUUAGGACACAGGGUGGAGCAGGUGGGAAGGGCGGAACCGCCACUCCUGCACGGACAUCCCAGCAUCCUCCAAGGCCACUGGAUCUGAUGACACUCACUGACUGUCCCUGAUCGACCAAAACGUACAUGCCUAGCACGUUCUAGUCUUCCCAGGAGCUCACUCUGAACCCUAGAACGAUCUUCAAAUCUUAUUGAUUGAUUCUCGCUUCUCCAAUAAAUAUGGGAAUGCGGAGUUGGUUGGGUGACAGUCUCUCUGAGCUGGCAUCCCUGCUCCCUCUCUCUUCCAGCUGACUUGUGGUAUCUCAUUCUUCUCCCGUGCGCCAUUACAGAAGGCGGCAAGCGGCGCCUGUACAUGGACCUGAUUGAGACCCAGAGAAGCAAGCAGCCCCUGCGUGGUUUUCUGCACGGCCGCAUCCUUCUCGCUCGGGUUUUCAACCAGAAGAGAAAAAGAAUCUUUAUUUUGGCACGGCAGCACCUCCCACUCCAAAAUGCAAAAUGGCGGGGCAAGAUGGCAGAGAAGUGGGGAACACUUCCCUCUUCAGGCCUGCACCAUUAAACUGAGAAGAAUUAAAUAAAAGCCACAACUUUCUGAUC